GACGAACGCUGGCGGCGUGCUUAACACAUGCAAGUCGAACGGUGAAGCCCUUCGGGGUGGAUCAGUGGCGAACGGGUGAGUAACACGUGAGCAACCUGCCCCUGGCUCUGGGACAACCACUGGAAACGGUGGCUAAUACCGGAUACGACCCGCCUCGGCAUCGAGUGUGGGUGGAAAGUUUUUCGGCUGGGGAUGGGCUCGCGGCCUAUCGGCUUGUUGGUGAGGUGAAGGCUCACCAAGGCGACGACGGGUAGCCGGCCUGAGAGGGCGACCGGCCACACUGGGACUGAGACACGGCCCAGACUCCUACGGGAGGCAGCAGUGGGGAAUAUUGCACAAUGGGCGAAAGCCUGAUGCAGCGACGCCGCGUGAGGGAUGACGGCCUUCGGGUUGUAAACCUCUUUCAGCUCCGAAGAAGCGAAAGUGACGGUAGGAGCAGAAGAAGCACCGGCUAACUACGUG
rnacentral:rRNA from 1 species